rnacentral:lncRNA from 1 species
AUAACAUAUUUUUUGGUCCCUUUCAGAUCACAGUCAUGUCAACAGUGGGCAUCAGGCUUGUAAGAGACAUGAAUUAUCUGUGAGAUUCAGUGAACAAGGCUAGAAGGACUGGGUAUUGGCUCCUACGGGUUACUCUGCCUUCCACUGUGAUGGAGAAUGUCUCUACCCUCUGUGUUCCUGCAUGAACUCCACCACCCACACUAUGAUCCAACUAGUGGUUUGUUGAACAUGAUUGGAAAUGAAACUCCAGCACACUAGUAGCACUAAAGACGUGUGAGUAUAACUUUUCCAGGUGAGUUGAACCUGCCUGUGGGUGCAGUGGGGA